UACAGAGGUCUCAAGCGUUGUUCGGAUUCAUUGGGCGUAAAGGGCGCGUAGGCGGCGGGGUAAGUCGGGUGUGAAAUCUCAGGGCUCAACCCUGAAACUGCACUCGAUACUGCUCUGCUUGAGGACUGGAGAGGAGACUGGAAUUCACGGUGUAGCGGUGAAAUGCGUAGAUAUCGUAAGGAAGACCAGUGGCGGAAGGCGGGUCU
rnacentral:rRNA from 1 species